AAUUUCCCCUGCUUAGGUUUCAUUCAGAGAGAGAAAGUGAGUUGGAGAGAGAGCACGAGCUGGGAGAGCGGUAGAGGAAGAAGCAGACAGAGUCAAACCUCUGAAUAUGGCUUUAUAAGCUCAGUGGGUAAAUUCUCUUUUCUUUGUUACCACAAAACCCAGAG
rnacentral:lncRNA from 1 species